rnacentral:rRNA from 1 species
CAGCAGCCGCGGGAAUACGGAGGGUGCAAGCGUUAAUCGGAAUUACUGGGCGUAAAGCGCACGCAGGCGGUUUGUUAAGUCAGAUGUGAAAUCCCCGAGCUUAACUUGGGAACUGCAUUUGAAACUGGCAAGCUAGAGUCUUGUAGAGGGGGGUAGAAUUCCAGGUGUAGCGGUGAAAUGCGUAGAGAUCUGGAGGAAUACCGGUGGCGAAGGCGGCCCCCUGGACAAAGACUGACGCUCAGGUGCGAAAGCGUGGGGAGCAAACAGGAUUAGAUACCCCGGUAGUCCCUGUCUCUUAUAC